UCAUUGGGGAAGGGUUAGUGUAGUGCAGAAGAGAGAGGUUCCUUUUGUUCUCAAAGCACCUCACUGCCCUAUUAACUUCAUCUGGCUGGAAUUCAAAAUUCAGGUCAUAAAGACAGGAGAGGACACAUUUUGUCCUUUCUUUUUAUGUCUUUCCAUUUUGUAGAGAAUGAUGAUGUGAGGUAGCAAAGAGCAGAAGAUAAAAGCAUAACACUAAGCAGGUCCCCACCAAAGAUUUCUAGAUACGCUGGGCCUUUUACUCAUCAUGCAGAAAGGAAGCAGAGGUUGCUGAAUAUCAGAUAGUGUCCUUAGUGAUGAAGGUGGUCUGAAUACAGAAACAUUUUGGGGACUGUAAAUCAAGAUUCUGACAUUAGCAGACAGGUGAUAAAAUGAAUAAAAUCAGUGAAACUUUAAAUCAAAAGUAACAUUGCCAAUUUUCCUUAUAGGUGCGAGGAAAUAAACCACCUAUUUUCCGUCCCUUUCCUCGGAAGCAUAGAAUUCAUGUGCUUGAGGCUCCUGGUGACAUUGAGCCAACUCAUUCCAUCUGUGCUGCUGACAGCAGGGCUCCUGCUGAAUUUGAGCCAAAUUCUUCCACCUGUGCUGCUGUCAAUGGGGCUCCUGCUGCUGAUGAGCCAACUACUUCUUCCCAGUGUGCUCCUGACUGUGAGGAUCCUGCAGUCAUUGAGCCAACUCAUUCCACCUGUGCUGCUGACAGCAGGGCUCCUGCUGAUGCUGAGCCAAAUUCUUCCACCUGUGCUGCUGUCAAUGGGGCUCCUGCUGAUGUUGAGCCAACUACUUCCCAGUGUGCUCCUGACUGUGAGGAUCCUGCAGUCAUUGAGCCAACUCAUUCCACCUGUGCUGCUGACAGCAGGGCUCCUGCUGACAUAGAACCAACUCCUUCACAACUUGCUCCUGACAGGGGUGCUCCUGCUGAUGUUGAGCCAACUCAUUCCACCUGUGCUGCUGACACCAGGAUUCCUGCUGACAUAGAACCAAGUCCUUCACAAUGUGCUCCUGACAGUCCUGCUCCUUCUGAUAUUGGUGAGGAACCCAGUCCUGUUGCUGACCUAGAUGAAGAUAUAGCUGAGGAUUUUUAUGACGCUUUAGAGUCAGCUGAUCUCACUGGCCAUAGCGGGUCCACUGUCCAGGUACCUGGUUUUCUUUGGGAACCAGAUAUGCUACUGCUGCCAGUAAUGCCCUUGAUGUGGUUUCUUACAUUCCUGUUAUCAAUGAUGAUGUGGAUUAGAAAUGGAAUUCGCAAGUGUGCUAUGAAGAAAAUGGCCAAGGACCUCCCUCCAAGAGAAAAGAUAAACCCGAUGCCGCUGGAGCUGAACACUCCAACACACACUGAUAUAUGC
rnacentral:lncRNA from 1 species